GAGUUGGUGGUUUAACUGGCAAAACUCUUCCUUGUCAAGGAAGAUAAUAUCGGAUCGUACCCGAUUCAACUCG
rnacentral:tRNA from 1 species